AGCUCCAACCACUAUAUAUCACUCCAAAAUAGCAGUCAUAUUAUAAGUAAGGAUUUAAGUGCCGCGAUAUGAAAUUGUGCGAAAAAUUUACCGGUACAGUACGACAAGGUGCAUGCCGGGCUGUAUAGAUGCGUGCCGAUCACAAAAAAUUUAUGUGUACCGACACACAAUAGUAUGAAAUAUUUAUUUUUUUAGUAACAAAAUAUUCUAACUGUUUAUUAUGUAUUUUUAUCAAAUAUUUUAAGUUUUAUUGAGGAAAUUACUUACUAAUUUAAAGAAUAGAGAGUUUUAAGCGGUGACAUCGGCCCAAAGACUGUAUCUUGCCUAUAUUUUGUUGGUAUGAUACGAUAUGAUCGAUACGGCCCGUAUCGAUGGGCACUUAAAUCCUUGAUUAUAAGCCGGCAUCCACUCGGCUUAUAUUAUCCAUCCCAC
rnacentral:lncRNA from 1 species